GCUGGUGGGAGCUGGCAGGUAGGGCCCAAGGGGGGCUGGGGGGCCCUCAGCCCAUAGGACCCCCAGAAGCUUAUUCCAGGCUUACUAGUUCCGUUCCAGAAAUAGAUCCCUAAGCAGAUGAAGGGAGGGGCUGGGAGCAAAAGGGAAGAAGGUCAGUGCCAUUUCCGGGGCACUUAGCAGGGGCGCGGCUGGGACGGCACCUUCCAGAACCCACAGGCCCAGGGCUGGGCUCAGGACCGUCACACAGGGGCACACCAGGCAGCGGCCGCACGGUUUGCUCCAACACCCUUUUGGCAGAUGCAGAAGCCGAGUGUCCGGGAGGCAGGCCGGCUCCAGAAUCUCCCAAGGUGGCCGGUCACCCAUGGCACACAGUGCUACAAAAUGAGGUCUCAUCAAGAGACUGGCGUUCAAACUGAAGUGACUCAUAGCCACUCUCCUUAAUGGAGCGCAAGAUGGCAGCGCCGGAGCUGAGGGUUCCGCGCACUUCUCUGGAACUGAUUCACAUCACAUCCGCCUCUUCUUCCGUGAGGCAGCGCAGUGCCUCUUUGCCUUGCAUCCGAUCCUCAGGAAAGUCACCUGAAAAUCUCGGGACCACCACCUCACGCCCCCCAGGCUGGCUGAUAUCAAGAAAACAGCAUUAGUCACAAGAGUUAAAACAUGGAGGAAGCUCGAAUGUCCACUGACGGAGGAAUGGAAGUUGAGAAGAGCUGCUUCAGCAAUUUCCAAGGAUCAGGAGUGUCCGUGGCAAACAAGCCCUCUCCCCUCUUCAUCCUGCCCCCACCGACAGACCCCACAGGAGGGAGGUGACCCCAGGACCCUUCUACUCAAGGCCUUGGGCAACAUCUGUUGAGGACAAGGAGGCUGAGGCACAGGGAGGUUAACAACUAUCCGAUAGAGGAGGCAGGAUGCGAACCCAGGAGUCUGGCUCCAGCUCAAGAUGUGCUCCUGCCCCGUCUCCUAGGCCCAUCUCCUGUGACUGCUGAUGUCCACGCAGCCACAGUCAACAAGAGUGACGGAAAGCCAGAAAGCUUGGGGAAUGUGGUUGUCUGUCUGCUACUGACCCAAGCUCUUUCCUUGGACUCAUUUUGAUCUUAAUAAAAAGGAAAAAAAAUGGA